GCCGUAGGUGAACCUGCGGGGGGCUCUAUUGAGAAUUUUUAUAAUGGAGAGGAGAGGUGGUGGUGGCCUUUUCCACCAUUAUGGCGGAGGGGGGGGCAUGUGCACUUCUUUUUCUUCCUUUUCACCCCCCCUCUGCACCUGUGAGGCAGCAAUAGUUGGUGGAUUUAAUUCCUUCAUCCAUUUGCUGUCUACUUAAUUUACACACACUCUACUUAAUUUAAACUGAAUGUAAUUGAUGUAACGCAUCUAAUACUAAGUUUCAACAACGGAUCUCUUGGCUCUCGCAUCGAUGAAGAACGCAGCGAAAUGCGAUAAGUAAUGUGAAUUGCAGAAUUCAGUGAAUCAUCGAAUCUUUGAACGCACCUUGCGCUCCUUGGUAUUCCUUGGAGCAUGCCUGUUUGAGUAUCAUGAAAUCUUCAAAGUAAACCUUUUGUUAAUUCAAUUGGUCUUUUUUACUUUGGUUUUGGAGGAUCUUAUUGCAGCUUCACACCUGCUCCUCUUUGUGCAUUAGCUGGAUCUCAGUGUUAUGCUUGGUUCCACUCGGCGUGAUAAGUUAUCUAUCGCUGAGGACACCCGUAAAAAAGGUGGCCAAGGUAAAUGCAGAUGAACCGCUUCUAAUAGUCCAUUGACUUGGACAAUAUUCUAUUUUAUGAUCUGAUCUCAAAUCAGGUAGACAGCCAUUCC
rnacentral:rRNA from 1 species